rnacentral:rRNA from 1 species
UUCUGGCUCAGGAUGAACGCUAGCGGCAGGCUUAACACAUGCAAGUCGAGGGGCAGCGGGAUGUAGCAAUACAUUGCCGGCGACCGGCGGAUGGGUGCGUAACGCGUAUGCAACCUACCUUAGUACAGGGGAAUAACCUUUCGAAAGGGAGACUAACACCCCAUAGUAUUGAUUUAAGGCAUCUUAGAUUAAUUAAAUAUUUAUAGGUAUAAGAUGGGCAUGCGUAUGAUUAGCUAGUUGGUAAGGUAACGGCUUACCAAGGCGACGAUCAUUAGGGGUUCUGAGAGGAAGGUCCCCCACACUGGUACUGAGACACGGACCAGACUCCUACGGGAGGCAGCAGUGAGGAAUAUUGGUCAAUGGGCGCAAGCCUGAACCAGCCAUGCCGCGUGCAGGAAGACGGCCUUAUGGGUUGUAAACUGCUUUUACAUAAGACUAACCGUAUAUUUGCGAAUAUACCUGAAUGUAUUAUGAGAAUAAGGAUCGGCUAACUCCGUGCCAGCCGCCGC